CAAUGGUAUGAUUGCUCACAGUGUGGUUGCUGGAGUUUGACUGAUACAUAAAUAUGACCUCAUUGAGAUCUUGUAGUGGAUGUUAGCGAAGUUGAUCCACUGUAAGAGUAGAGUGCAUAUCUAGAUGGAAUCUAUUGACCUUGAUAGAGAGGAGUAGUUCUAUGAGAUUUGAGAGGUUAAGUCUGAGAGUUUGUGAUCACAG
rnacentral:lncRNA from 1 species